UGAGAAGGCUACAGCUUCACACACUGUGCUGCCUGCCAGCUUUCCCCAGAGCCUAGGCCUCCCUCAGCAGGGCAUCUCAUCCCACCAUGUGGCUGCCUCUGCUUCUGGGUGCCUUGCUGUGGGCAGUACUGUGGUUGCUCAGAGACCGGCAGAGCCUGCCGGCCCGAGACGCUGUCAUCUUCAUCACCGGCUGUGACUCGGGCUUUGGGCGCCUUCUGGCACUGCAACUUUACAACAGGCCAGGGGGCGGGUGGUCAACAUCACCAGUGUCUUGGGCCGAAUAGCAGCCAAUGGCGGGGGCUACUGUGUCUCCAAGUUUGGCCUGGAGGCCUUCUCUGACAGCCUGAGGUGAGGGUGCACAGCUCCAGGCUUAGCCUGGAGAGGGGCAGGGAUCUUACUCAGAUACAUCAGUUAUCGACACAGGCUAGAAGACAAGGAGCAGAACAACACAGGAGAAAUGGAAAAGCAGACAGGGCUGGAGGUGAAACCCCAAGUUUUAUCUCAUAC
rnacentral:lncRNA from 1 species